rnacentral:rRNA from 1 species
GCAGCCGCCGCGGGAAUACGGAGGGUGCAAGCGUUAAUCGGAAUUACUGGGCGUAAAGCGCACGCAGGCGGUCUGACAAGUCAGAUGUGAAAUCCCCGGGCUUAACCUGGGAACUGCAUUUGAAACUGUCAGGCUGGAGUCUUGUAGAGGGGGGUGGAAUUCCAGGUGUAGCGGUGAAAUGCGUAGAGAUCUGGAGGAAUACCGGUGGCGAAGGCGGCCCCCUGGACAAAGACUGACGCUCAGGUGCGAAAGCGUGGGGAGCAAACAGGAUUAGAUACCCGAGUAGUCCCUGUCUCUUAUAC